CUUUGCUAAAAAAACUAAGUCCUGGAUUUGUCCUGGUGUCUUUUGGUGUAAUUGCACCAUUGGUAGUCAGUGAAUCACAGUUGAGGAUUGUGAUUGGUUUGGAGCCUGUAUGUGUGCUGCAUGAAAGUUGAAUAUGGAUCCAUUCCGGAGCCACUUCAGGUUUUCCCGACAGCUGAGACACAGUUGGAUAAACCCACGCUGGAAACAGCACAUAAAACCUCUCUGAGCAGGAAUGACAAAGCACGAGAUCCCAGCUGAGAUCUGUCUAUAUAUGCUCUAAACUUUUAGACAAUGGGUUUCAAUUGGCUGUGUCUAUACAUAUAAUCUUGUUUGUUUAAAUGUGAUGUUUUAUAAGAACUUAUGUAGACAAUCCAGUGCUUUAUAUAACAUAAAAACAUAAAACAGACCAUUUAAACCAGUCUUUAUCUCGUCUCUUGACAACUAGGAGUGGCUUUGAAUUCAGUUUGUUGUCUGUCCUGUUUUUUUAGUUUUCUUCUUUUCAAAUCCUCAUUCUCUCUCUGUCUAUUAAAAAUGAUCUCUCAA